AACGAACGCUGGCGGCAGGCCUAACACAUGCAAGUCGAGCGCACCCUUCGGGGUGAGCGGCGGACGGGUGAGUAACGCGUGGGAACGUGCCCUUCUCUGCGGAAUAGCCUCGGGAAACUGAGAGUAAUACCGCAUACGCCCUUUGGGGGAAAGAUUUAUCGGAGAAGGAUCGGCCCGCGUUGGAUUAGGUAGUUGGUGGGGGAAUGGCCAACCAAGCCGACGAUCCAUAGCUGGUUUGAGAGGAUGAUCAGCCACACUGGGACUGAGACACGGCCCAGACUCCUACGGGAGGCAGCAGUGGGGAAUCUUAGACAAUGGGGGCAAACCUGAUCUAGCCAUGCCGCGUGAGUGAUGAAGGCCUUAGGGUUGUAAAGCUCUUUCAGCUGGGAAGAUAAUGACGGUACCAGCAGAAGAAGCCCCGGCUAACUCCGUG
rnacentral:rRNA from 1 species